rnacentral:rRNA from 1 species
GAUGAACGCUAGCGGCAGGCUUAAUACAUGCAAGUCGAGGGGUAGCAGGUCUGUAGCAAUACAGAUGCUGACGACCGGCAAACGGGUGCGGAACACGUACAGAACCUUCCUUCGAGUGGGAGAUAGCCCAGGGAAACUUGGAGUAAUAUCCCAUAGGAUCAUAGAGUGGCAUCACUUAGUGAUUAAAGAUUUAUCGCUUGAAGAUGGCUGUGCGGCUGAUUAGGUAGUUGGUGUAGGUAACGGCUCACCAAGCCUUCGAUCAGUAACUGGUGUGAGAGCACGACCAGUAAAACGGGCACUGAGACACGGGCCCGACUCCUACGGGAGGCAGCAGUAAAGAAUAUUGGGCAAUGGAGGCAACUCUGACCCAGCCAUGCCGCGUGGAGGAUGAAGGUCCUCUGGAUUGUAAACUUCUUUUAUUUGGGAAGAAAUGCCGAUUUUCUAAUUGGUUUGACGGUACCAGAUGAAUAAGCACCGGCUAACUCCGUGCCAGCCGCCGCGGUAACAC